rnacentral:rRNA from 1 species
CAAAUGACUCUCGGCAACGGAUAUCUCGGCUCACGCAUCGAUGAAGAACGUAGCAAAAUGCGAUACUUGGUGUGAAUUGCAGAAUCCCGUGAACCAUCGAGUUUUUGAACGCAAGUUGCGCCCGAAGCCUUUUGGCUGAGGGCACGUCUGCCUGGGCGUCACAC